rnacentral:rRNA from 1 species
AAUCAACGCUGGCGGCGUGCCUAACACAUGCAAGUCGAACGAGAAAGUGGCUUCGGGCCACGAGUAAAGUGGCGCACGGGUGAGUAACACGUGACUAACCUACCCUCGAGUGGGGAAUAACUUCGGGAAACCGAGGCUAAUACCGCAUAACACCUACGGGUCAAAGGAGCAAUUCGCUUGAGGAGGGGGUCGCGGCAGAUUAGCUAGUUGGCGGGGUAAUGGCCACCAAGGCAAUGAUCUGUAUCCGGCCUGAGAGGGCGCACGGACACACUGGAACUGAAACACGGUCCAGACUCCUACGGGAGGCAGCAGUGGGGAAUUUUGCGCAAUGGGGGAAACCCUGACGCAGCAACGCCGCGUGGAGGAUGAAGUCUCUUGGGACGUAAACUCCUUUCGAUCGGGACGAUUAUGACGGUACCGGAAGAAGAAGCCCCGGCUAACUUCGUG